rnacentral:rRNA from 2 species
AGACCCGAAACCCGGUGAUCUAGCCAUGGGCAGGUUGAAGGUUGGGUAACACUAACUGGAGGACCGAACCGACUAAUGUUGAAAAAUUAGCGGAUGACCUGUGGCUGGGGGUGAAAGGCCAAUCAAACCGGGAGAUAGCUGGUUCUCCCCGAAAGCUAUUUAGGUAGCGCCUCGUGAAUUCAUCUCCGGGGGUAGAGCACUGUUUCGGCUAGGGGGCCAUCCCGGCUUACCAACCCGAUGCAAACUGCGAAUACCGGAGAAUGUUAUCACGGGAGACACACGGCGGGUGCUAACGUCCGUCGUGAAGAGGGAAACAACCCAGACCGCCAGCUAAGGUCCCAAAGUCAUGGUUAAGUGGGAAACGAUGUGGGAAGGCCCAGACAGCCAGGAUGUUGGCUUAGAAGCAGCCAUCAUUUAAAGAAAGCGUAAUAGCUCACUGGUCGAGUCGGCCUGCGCGGAAGAUGUAACGGGGCUAAACCAUGCACCGAAGCUGCGGCAGCGACGCUGAUGCGUUGUUGGGUAGGGGAGCGUUCUGUAAGCCUGCGAAGGUGGCCUGUGAGGGUUGCUGGAGGUAUCAGAAGUGCGAAUGCUGACAUAAGUAACGAUAAAGCGGGUGAAAAGCCCGCUCGCCGGAAGACCAAGGGUUCCUGUCCAACGUUAAUCGGGGCAGGGUGAGUCGACCCCUAAGGCGAGGCCGAAAGGCGUAGUCGAUGGGAAACGGGUUAAUAUUCCCGUACUUGGUGUUACUGCGAAGGGGGGACGGAGAAGGCUAUGUUGGCCGGGCGACGGUUGUCCCGGUUUAAGCGUGUAGGCUGGUUUUCCAGGCAAAUCCGGAAAAUCAAGGCUGAGGCGUGAUGACGAGGCACUACGGUGCUGAAGCAACAAAUGCCCUGCUUCCAGGAAAAGCCUCUAAGCAUCAGGUAACAUCAAAUCGUACCCCAAACCGACACAGGUGGUCAGGUAGAGAAUACCAAGGCGCUUGAG